rnacentral:rRNA from 1 species
UACGGAGGGAGCUAGCGUUGUUCGGAAUUACUGGGCGUAAAGCGCACGUAGGCGGCUUUGUAAGUUAGAGGUGAAAGCCUGGGGCUCAACUCCAGAACUGCCUUUAAAACUGCAUCGCUUGAAUCCAGGAGAGGUGAGUGGAAUUCCGAGUGUAGAGGUGAAAUUCGUAGAUAUUCGGAAGAACACCAGUGGCGAAGGCUGCUCACUGGACUGGUAUUGACGCUGAGGUGCGAAAGCGUGGGGAGCAAACAGG